AUUUAUAGAUAUGAGUAGAGAUUUAGCAUCAUUCUUAAGGGCCCAAGGAUUUUUGGAAUGAUAAACGAGUAUUGGCUUCAGCUUGAAGUCAACAACUGCAUUAGCCCCUAACAAGAGAAUCACUGUGUCUUUUAAAGUUUUGAAGCCAAGCACUGACAUCUCCUCUUUGGCUAUGAAAGUCCUAGAUAGCAUCUUCUUCCAAUAGAAGGCUGUUUUAUCUAUACUGAAAAUC